rnacentral:rRNA from 1 species
AGAGUUUGAUUAUGGCUCAGAACGAACGCUGGUGGCGUGUUUUAUACAUGCAAGUCGAGCGAGGACAGUAGCUUGCUACUGAGCCGAGCGGCGAACGGGUGAGUAACGCGUAAGCAAUCUGCCCCACAAUCGGGAACAACCGUGCCAACGCGCGGCUAAUGCCGGAUAUUGUGUCCUACUGCAUAGUAGGUUAACGAAAGAUUUAUCGUUGUGGGAUGAGCUUGCGUCCGAUUAGCUAGUUGGCGGGUAAUAGCCCACCAAGGCGACGAUCGGUAGCCGGCCUGAGAGGGUGAUCGGCCACAGUUGGACUGAGAUACCGGCCCAGACUCCGUACGGGAGGCAGCAGGUAGGGAAUAUUGCGCAAUGGGGGGAACCCUGACGCCAGCAACGCCACGUGUGGGAAGAAGCAUUUCGGUGUGUAAACCACUGUCGGAAAGGAAUAACGGAAGACUUCGGUCUUUAUGAACGUACUUUUAGAGGAAGCACCGGCAAACUUCGUGCCAGCCGCCGC